UGACCACUUCCCCUCGGGAAGUUAAGGCCAUACGGACAGCCGGGUCAAAUGCCGA
rnacentral:sRNA from 1 species